UACGGAGGGUGCAAGCGUUGUCCGGAAUCACUGGGCGUAAAGGGCGCGUAGGCGGCCUGAUAAGUAGGGGGUGAAAUCCUGCGGCUUAACCGCAGGGCUGCCUUCUAAACUGUCAGGCUAGAGCACAGUAGAGGAAGGUGGAAUUCCCGGUGUAGCAGUGAAAUGCGUAGAGAUCGGGAGGAACACCAGUGGCGAAGGCGGCCUUCUGGACCAAUACUGACGCUCAUGCACGAAAGCGUGGGGAGCAAACAGG
rnacentral:rRNA from 1 species